CAGUCGCCGCGGUAAUACGGAGGGUGCAAGCGUUAAUCGGAAUUACUGGGCGUAAAGCGUGCGUAGGCGGUUCGUUAAGUCUGUUGUGAAAGCCCCGGGCUCAACCUGGGAAUGGCAAUGGAUACUGGCGAGCUAGAGUGUGUCAGAGGAUGGUGGAAUUCCCGGUGUAGCGGUGAAAUGCGUAGAGAUCGGGAGGAACAUCAGUGGCGAAAGCGGCUCACUGGACCAUAACUGACGCUGAUGCACGAAAGCUAGGGGAGCAAACAGGAUUAGAUACCCGUGUAGUCCCUGUCUCUUAUAC
rnacentral:rRNA from 1 species